rnacentral:rRNA from 1 species
AACGAACGCUGGCGGCGUGCUUAACACAUGCAAGUCGAACGGUAAGGCCCUUCGGGGUACACGAGUGGCGAACGGGUGAGUAACACGUGGGUGAUCUGCCCUGCACUUCGGGAUAAGCCUGGGAAACUGGGUCUAAUACCGGAUAGGACCACUGCCUGCAUGGGUGGGGGUGGAAAGCUUUUGCGGUGUGGGAUGGGCCCGCGGCCUAUCAGCUUGUUGGUGGGGUGAUGGCCUACCAAGGCGACGACGGGGAGCCGGCCUGAGAGGGUGACCGGCCACACUGGGACUGAGAUACGGCCCAGACUCCUACGGGAGGCAGCAGUGGGGAAUAUAGCACAAUGGGCGCAAGCCUGAUGCAGCGACGCCGCGUGAGGGAUGACGGCCUUCGGGUUGUAAACCUCUUUCAGCACCGACGAAGCGCAAGUGACGGUAGGUGCAGAAGAAGGACCGGCCAACUACGUGCCAGCCGCCGCAGUAAUAC